GAUGAACGCUGGCGGCGUGCCUAAUACAUGCAAGUCGAACGCAUUGAGAGAAGUGCUUGCACUUUUCAAUUUGAGUGGCGAACGGGUGAGUAACACGUGGGCAACCUACCUGAUAGCGGGGGAUAACGAGUGGAAACAUUCGCUAAUACCGCAUAACAAUAGAGAAGGCAUCUUCUUUAUUUAAAAGGCGCUUUCAAGCGUCACUAUCAGAUGGGCCCGCGGUGCAUUAGUUAGUUGGUGGGGUGAAGGCCUACCAAGACGAUGAUGCAUAGCCGAGUUGAGAGGCUGAGCGGCCACAUUGGGACUGAGACACGGCCCAAACUCCUAAGGGAGGCUGCAGUAGGGAAUCUUCCACAAUGGACGAAAGUCUGAUGGAGCAAGGCCGCGUGUGUGAUGAAGGCUUUCGGGUCGUAAAGCACUGUUGUAUGGGAAGAAAUGCUAGGCUAGGAAAUGAGCUUAGUUUGACGGUACCAUACCAGAAAGGGACGGCUAAAUACGUGCCAGCAGCCGCCGUAA
rnacentral:rRNA from 1 species